AGUGAGUUUGUCUGUAGUGAGCAUGUGUAUGUGUGUCAAUGAGCUUGUGUGUGUUUCAGUAAGCUUGUGUGUGUCGGUGAGUUUGUAUAAAAUGAUCAUGUGUGUCAGUGAACUUUUCUGCGGUGAGCAUGUGUGUGUGUCAGUGUGCCUUUCUGUAGAGAGCAUGUGUGUGUCAGUGAGCUUAUGUGUAAGCGAGCUUGUGUGUGUCUGCUAACUUUUCUGCAGUAAGCCUGUGUAU